rnacentral:rRNA from 1 species
ACGCUGGCGGCAGGCCUAACACAUGCAAGUCGAGCGGUAGAGAGAAGCUUGCUUCUCUUGAGAGCGGCGGACGGGUGAGUAAUGCCUAGGAAUCUGCCUGGUAGUGGGGGAUAACGUUCGGAAACGGACGCUAAUACCGCAUACGUCCUACGGGAGAAAGCAGGGGACCUUCGGGCCUUGCGCUAUCAGAUGAGCCUAGGUCGGAUUAGCUAGUUGGUGAGGUAAUGGCUCACCAAGGCGACGAUCCGUAACUGGUCUGAGAGGAUGAUCAGUCACACUGGAACUGAGACACGGUCCAGACUCCUACGGGAGGCAGCAGUGGGGAAUAUUGGACAAUGGGCGAAAGCCUGAUCCAGCCAUGCCGCGUGUGUGAAGAAGGUCUUCGGAUUGUAAAGCACUUUAAGUUGGGAGGAAGGGCAUUAACCUAAUACGUUAGUGUUUUGACGUUACCGACAGAAUAAGCACCGGCUAACUCUGUGCCAGCAGCCGCGGUAAUACAGAGGGUGCAAGCGUUAAUCGGAAUUACUGGGCGUAAAGCGCGCGUAGGUGGUUUGGUUAAGUUGGAUGUGAAAUCCCCGGGCUCACCUGGGAACUGCAUUCAAACUGACUGACUAGAGUAUGGUAGAGGGUGGUGGGAAUUUCCUGU